rnacentral:misc_RNA from 1 species
AACCAUAGAAACCUGCGGAGUACCUGCGGAAGGAUCAUUACCGAGUUUACAACUCCCAAACCCCUGUGAACAUACCUAUACGUUGCCUCGGCGGAUCAGCCCGCGCCCCGUAAAAAGGGACGGCCCGCCCGAGGACCCCUAAACUCUGUUUUUAGUGGAACUUCUGAGUAAAACAAACAAAUAAAUCAAAACUUUUAGCAAUGGAUCU